AUGGAGUGUGUGUAUGUAUGUAUGUAUGUAUAUAUAUAUAUAUAUAUACAUAUAUAUAUAUAUAUAUAUAUAUAUACACACAUACAUAUAUAUAUAUAUAUAUAUAUACAUACACACACACACACACACACACACACACAUUAUAUAUAUAUAUAUAUACAUACACACAUACAUACAUAUAUACACACAUACAUGUAUAUAUAUAUAUAUAUAUAUAUAUAUAUAUAUAUAUAUAUAUAUAUAUAUAUAUACACAUACACACACACAUAUAUAUUAUAUAUAUAUAUACAUACAUACAUACAUACAUACAUACAUACGUACGUACGUACGUACGUAUGUAUGUGUAUGUAUGUAUGUGUAUAUAUAUAUAUAUAUACACACACACACUUGUAUACAAAUGACAUUUUUAUGAGUGCAUUCCACCAUCUCAAACCAUAUGUUGUCUAUUUGAGGUGAAUUUUUUCUUCAAUUAGUUAGCACAACCUUACAACAUCUGCUGUGUACAUGUUGUGUGUAAUAUCUAAGAUUGUCAUGCUGAAAGGAAUUUCUAAAAUUCUUAUGUUCCUCAUGUAGCCAUUGUAACGGAAUAUCUUUGCUGACAUUCUUAUCCUUUGGUGAAUGACAGCCAAGACGUGUAACGGAGUCUUCAGUUGGUAUUUUCAAACUGUUGCACGGCUUACAAAAUGAAUAUCCCUUCAUGUCAAAUAGCAAUUGUUGACAAGUACUGCAUAAUACUGCAUCAUAAAAACACACAUACUACAAAGUAUGAUGUGGUCUUCUCUAGAAUACAAAAAUAAUACUUAUUCUUCAUAUCAAAAUAUACUGCUCUAAUUUUGUGAGGGGAAAACAGUUUUUGUAAACCUUCAUUCCGUAAAAUAUAAUUGCACUUGUGAAACAGCCAUAUUGAAAUAGCAGUUACAGUACUGUUACUAAGAACACGCUUUGGUAACUUCCUUGAGUGUUUUUAGAAGCUGCUAUCAAAUAAAACCGCCAACCACAAAGUCCAUUUCAAAAUAACAAAAAAAUGUUGUUCACUUCUCUUUUCAGUGCCUAGAGAAAUGUCUUAAAGCUGUAACAUACAUUUGUUAAUUAUUAUUAUUAUUAUUAAGGAUACCUCCACUCGUUGCAGUGCAUUAAAACAGAGUCCAUUACUCAGACUGUGCCAUUGAGUUGAGUCUGUGGUGAGUGUCGCCAUUUUGUAACAGAGGCGUGUACUCCUGAAUCAGAACAGGAGCGUUCCUGAGCAUCUCCUGGAAAUGCCGAAGCGUGUCAGCGUAAAGCUCUCUCUGUAACACCAGUGGUCGGAAAAGAUUGAUGGGCUCCGCCGUGUGGAAUGUUGCCGGAACCCGGACUUCUGGUGGAACUUGGCUGUUCCCAACCAGAGCGUGACAGAGUCUCUUCUCCUGAAGACUCCUGUGAAGAAAGCCUAGCAUGUCCCGUAGCCUGUGCUCCAGACUCUCAGAGCCCCAGCUAGACGAGCCCUUACUCAACAACAGGUGCAGCAGGGUCGUCUUCAGGUGAUAGUUGGUCAGAGCACACCUGCCAGUUAGACCCAUCUGUUUCUUGUGUAGGAAAGUGAUGAUCUGAAGGCAGUGGAGGUGGCAGGAAUUUUCAGGCAGGCUUUUAGCCACAUGUUUGAGCAGGUUCCUCUCAUAGACAGCAAAGGAGAGGGGCCAGUAAGUGUCUGAGGAGGUGCUGCUGUCAGAAGGGAAGUGUGAUACAAAGUAGGCAUUUGUGCCAUCUAGUUCCACAACGGGGAUGAUGUUCAUCACAACAACCUUUCCUGAGCGGAAUCUGACCUUCAGUGCGCCAGUAGCAUCCAGGUUGCGGAAAGUGAGCUCAAACUCGUACUUGUGAGAAAUCCGUCCCCAGGCUUUGGUCACGGAGAUCUGGAACCACUUCAUGACCUGGUCCUUAGCCAGAUAAGGUGUGUUCUUGGAGCACAGAAGGUCAUCCGGGGUGUGGUCUGCUCUGGGCUUUUCAUUUUUGCUGUGUAGCAAGCACAGCAUGUCCUCACCCAGGUUGGCAGAGCCACAGAGACAGCCGUCCUCAUUCUCCCCAACCUUUGUCACCUUGAUCCUGCCACAGCCCUGCAUGUCCAGGGGUACGUCACUGGAGGGGCUGCACCACAGCUGGAACUGGAAGGAGUAGGGCUCCGGUGGGGCGAAAGGGACAAUGAGAUCACACAUCAGGGGCUUGCUCACCCUCCACGACUCAAACAUACUCCCAACGCCCACAAAGUCCGCCACCUCCAUGUCAGUCUCCCUGUCACACACACUCCUCAGGGACUCCAGCAGGUCAUCAGCGAAGCCCUCCACAAAUUCCCGCACCCUCCAGUUCUCAUGGGCCGAGGUGUGGAUGCAUCUCUCACAGAAGCUGUUUAGGACUCCCUUAUCGAGCUGGAGUGUCUUGGAACUGAUGGAUCCACCCUCAACAAACCCAUCCUCAUCAUCAGCGUAUCGGGCUUCCAUGUCUGUCAAAUCCUGCCGACAUACCUCAAUAGUGAAGAAGAUGACCAGUGAGAGGGCGCUCCAGAAGUACCAGCCGUAGCCGUCCUCUGAGCCAGGGUCCUGCUGCUCCGUGCCUGCAUACAAGAGCUCCUGCUCCAGCCGCGACUGCUCCAGCUCCAGCCUCUUCUCAUGCUCCCUCAUGCGGGCCAGCAGGGCCUCAUCCUGCUCUGGGAGGGUGGUGUUCUCCUGCGGGAACAGCAGCGGAUGGUUCAAGAUGGCCGCUGCCACCACCACAAACACCCGUGCUAUGGCCCCCUGCAUCCUGGCUCCCUGGACCUCAGGGAGGAGACAAAACCAGUGUCACCCCUCACGCCAGCAUCUCAUCGACUCUGAUCAAGCUGCAGCCCAAAACCUGAAAAAUAAAUAGGAUUUGACAAAAUUAUGAUAUGUCCUUGCAACUUUUUGGGGGAUUUCAUAAUCAGCUUGAGAGCUAUUUUACUUCUUCAAACACGUCGCUAUUGUGUACUGUGCAUUGCGAGG
rnacentral:lncRNA from 1 species